UCCAGGGAGGUCUCAAUGUGGACACGAGAACAUUGAAAAUGUCUUCUUCUUGGGCUAUGAACAAAAAGUGUGACAGAUGCUUUUGUGAUAUUCAAGGAGAGCCUCCAACUGAACAAUAGUCAAAAAUAGUACCAUCAUCUGGGCACGUCUUCUGAGGUUUCUGCAGUGGCUGACAAUCCAGCUCUCUUUCGCUGUCCCAGUUCUCAAAAAAACAGUAGUCCACAUCAUGUAAUCUACCAAGUCUACUCAGAAAAGCUAAGAACUAAAAAGAGCAUGGAUCCUGGACCAAAUUUUCAUUCCAUACUUGGCUGGUCGGAACUGAGCUUAAUGAAGGUUCAGUAGAGAGAAUAUAUUAUCAGUUUGGUUAUUGCUGAAUCCAUCUUCUAGCUCAAUGGAUCUUCUUAGAAGCUUCAUCGUAAGAAUUCAUCUACAGAUGAAUGAACCAGACCAUUCCUGCAGCAGUGCUUAAGAAGUAGUUCCGUCAAAAGCAUUUAAGAAAUCAAAGAAAGGAAGAGCAAAGAAAAACUUUAGAUGUCGCUAGGAAAUACUCAUCUGACACCUUCAUUAGAUCACUUUCCUGAGGAGGGAAGGAGUUUCACUUGACUUUUCCAGGAAGGCAGAGAAGAGUCUCAGGUGCUAGUAGCAGCCAAAUAUGCUGGGUCAAGCAAAAAGCUUUACCUAUGAGAAGAGGUGACAACAUCUGCAGAACCUUGGAUGCUUGUGUUUAAUGUUUCGAUACUGGCUUAUCUUGGAAGUGCCUGGGUAUUCUGUUCUUUAACUCUUGUCAGAAUAAGUGAAAAAUAUUGGCAGCUGCCUACAUUAAAAAUGAAGACAUGCUAGUAUUUUCUGCUACUUGAAACUGUGGUGUAUAAACGUAAUUGUAUACAGACAUGCCUAUAUACAUAUACUUGUAUUUUUUGUUACUUACACUUGUUUGCCAUUUUUAACAUACACACAUUUAUAUAUAGGACUAUAAGACUGUAUAGGAAAUUGAAAUAACUGUUCCAUGAGACAUGUCAUGAGUUGCAACUCAUAUUUGGUUUAUAUACAUUACGGUCCAGUAAUGCAAUAAUGCAUCCCUUAAAUCUCCCCAGCAGUCUACCUUGGGGGCAUAAUCCAUCUGAAUUGCAUAUAGAACACUAAUUGACAUUGUCCGGUUUCACGACCCAGUCAAAUGUUUUACAGUAAUGAUUACAGUGUAAAACAUGAACAUGCUGCAUGAGCACAAUCUGUGUUAGUGUCAUGAAGAAUGUCUGUUGCCUCUCACUGACCUCUAGGACAGCAAUGAUAGAUUUUUUUUCAGUAUCUAAUACUUCUCAGCAAUGACUGACCAUCUUUUGAUGGUAUUGAAAUGAUUGUCCUUGCUUAAUGUUGUUCUCAAUGUGCUACAGCUAAUAGAAUUUCUAUACUCCCUGAAUGUAUGCAAAUGAAAAAGAAUGUUCUUUGUGUCUAUCUGGUAAUGAUACAUGGAUAAUCUGCAUGUGCUAGUGUACACUCAUGGUAGUGAGGCCAGGACUGCUUAGUAGCGGGGCAUUGGAAUGAGGGUUUCUUUUGCAUGAUCAUUUCUUAAACAGUAACUCUACAUAUUAUGGUCUUAAACAGAGUUAGUUUGAAAAAAGCAAUUUGAUAUCUAAAGUCAUUUAAGCAGAUAACUAUUUUUCCUGUAGUGAUCUCCUUCCACUAAAAUGGAUCUUUCCCUUUAGGAAAAAGAACAGAAAUCCAACAAUGCUUGUUUAGCUCCUAACCAUCUAUGUUAGGAGUGAAGUAUUCAUCUAGUAAAAAUAUUGCAUUUUACAAUUGUUAUUUUUGGUCAUAAUCAAAGAGUUAAGCAUGAGCGUUACAUAGAACUUAGGAAGUCCUGUUGUCUUUUUUUUUUUUCUUUUUUUUUAAACACAACCUUCAUGGUUAUAUAUCUACUAACAGAAUAAGUGUACUGUAUGGAAAAAGUGACUUAUUCUCAUGCAAGGAUACUACAUUAGUGACUAUCUGUAGUGCUGCAGUUCUUGGAAAUCUGGCUUGACCUACAUCACAGUGUGCUUGGGCAAAAGUUAUAAAGCAGUAGCAGAUGUAUGGUUUCUCAGUUUACAACUUUAAAUUGCUGGUGGAAAUAAGUGUCCCACUGGCCUUGGGCAGGUACAAUGCUGGCAGCCUGUUUGUGGCCACAUGAUGUUGCUACUGUGGAGCAUGUGCAGGGGAAACAGAAGAUCCUGAACGAGCUCAGAGGAAAUCUGAAGGACAUGUUUCAGUGGCUGGAAUUCCUGACUUUUUAUACAAUAUUUAACUCUUCCUUAGCAGGAAUUUAGUGCCUUAGAUCACCCUUUCCAAGGUAAACAGGCUUCAAGUUAAGGAAAAAAAUUACAGGGCCACUGAUGUCUGUGGUACAGGAACAAGCAAAAUCUACCCAGUGCAGCUCAGUCUGAUAUGGUUUAUUUGCACUUUGGCAAGCAUAACAGUUACUUUCCUUAUUGAUCACACCUAGUCCCUCUAAGUCCAAGAACUUAUUGAAAUAAGUCAAGUACUUAUAUGGAUUUUUGUUCUCUGAUGAAUCGGCUAUGCACUUUCACAUGUGCACAUUGAAAAGAUUUAACUAGCGAUAUAGGGCAGGCCAAAGUCUUGGUGCAGGCUGAAAUAUCAGUGAUUGAUUAAACUGCUGGAAGCCUCCCUCAACCUGGAUGCUAACUUUUAAGCUAACAGAAACUAGAUAUAUUAUCUAAGAAUAAAUCUGUUCAAGGAAGACAAGUCCUAAUGAACAAAUUGAAGCAUAUUUGUUAAGAUGAAAUAUGACAACUUCCUAACAACA